GUCUACGGCCAUACCACCCUGAACGCGCCCGAUCUCGUCUGAAAUCCUCUGGGGUAAAGUGAGCAUGGACUUCUUUGACUCAGGUGUUCAGACCCAGAAGAGGCUCUGGGGG
rnacentral:rRNA from 1 species